rnacentral:lncRNA from 1 species
GAUUUCACGCAAACGGUGCAUAAAAUGUUGUAACUUUUGCGAAAAUACCGUUUCUCCCUCACCGACCUCUCCUCUAUCAACACGCGAUCCCCGCAAAUCCGUCUGUCAGAUUUGUGAACGGAUCGCACCAGUGCGAUCAGCACGACGGAGACAACAAGCCUACGAUUUCGGUUCACCUUGAUCGAUCACGGAUUCGCAACGAAAUCGGCUUUCUCUCUCCAACAGAAGAAACUACGCACAAAUACAUAUAAAACAUGUAUUUUUCGAUUUCUCAAAAUCCAUGCGUCAAACUCAAAAUCCAUCAGCGCCAUUAGUUCCAGAACAGCUGAACCGGUCGAAACGA